rnacentral:rRNA from 1 species
CCUACGGGAGGCAGCAGUGAGGAAUAUUGGUCAAUGGACGAGAGUCUGAACCAGCCAAGUAGCGUGAAGGAUGACUGCCCUCUGGGUUGUAAACUUCUUUUAUAUGGGAAUAAAAUGUUCCACGUGUGGGAUUUUGUAUGUACCAUAUGAAUAAGGAUCGGCUAACUCCGUGCCAGCAGCCGCGGUAAUACGGAGGAUCCGAGCGUUAUCCGGAUUGAUUGGGUGUAAAGGGAGCGUAGGUGGAUUGUUAAGUCAGUUGUGAAAGUUUGCGGCUCAACCGUAAAAUUGCAGUUGAAACUGGCAGUCUUGAGUACAGGAGAGGUGGGUGGAAUUCGUGGUGUAGCGGUGAAAUGCGUAGAUAUCACGAAGAACUCCGAUUGCGAAGGCAGCUCACUGGACUGCAACUGACACUGAGGCUCGAAAGUGUGGGUAUCAAACAGGAUUAGAUACCCUAGUAGUC